rnacentral:rRNA from 1 species
AAACCAACAGGGAUUGCCUCAGUAACGGCGAGUGAAGCGGCAAAAGCUCAAAUUUGAAAUCUAACACUUUCAGUGUUCGAGUUGUAAUUUGAAGAAAGUUUCUCUGAGUAGUCCUUUAUCUAUGUUCCUUGGAACAGGACGUCAUAGAGGGUGAGAAUCCCGUAUGAUUUUGGAUACUAUUCUUUGUGAGAUUCUUUCGAAGAGUCGAGUUGUUUGGGAAUGCAGCUCUAAGUGGGUGGUAAAUUCCAUCUAAAGCUAAAUAUUGGCGAGAGACCGAUAGCGAACAAGUACAGUGAUGGAAAGAUGAAAAGAACUCUGAAAGAGAGAGUGAAAAAAGUACGUGAAAUUGCUGAAAGGGAAGGGCUUUAGGUCAGACUUUGGUGUUUAAAUGAUUAUCUUCUCUUUUUGAGUUGUGCUACUCGUUUUUCACUGGGCCAAUAUCAGUUUUUGUGGUAGAGCUACCUAUUGGAAUGUUAGCUUUUCUUCGGAUUGAGUGUUAUAGCCUUUAGACGUAUCUAUUUAC